rnacentral:lncRNA from 1 species
CUUACUACUACAAAUCACCACCUCCUCCUUCUCCCUCUCCACCUCCACCAUAUUAUUACAAGUCUCCCCCACCACCAUCUCCGUCUCCUCCACCACCUUACUACUACAAGUCACCACCACCACCAGUGCAUUCUCCCCCGCCACCUUAUUACUACAAAUCUCCGCCGCCACCAAAGUAUUCUCCCCCGCCACCUUAUUACUACAAAUCUCCACCGCCACCAAAGCAUUCUCCCCCACCACCUUACUACUACAAAUCUCCACCGCCACCAAAGCAUUCUCCUCCACCACCUUACUACUACAAAUCUCCACCACCACCAAAACACACCUUACUAUUAUAAAUCACCACCUCCACCAAUGAAGUCUCCACCUCCGCCAUAUUACUAUAAAUCACCACCACCACCAAAGCAUUCUCCCCCGCCACCUUACUACUACAAGUCUCCACCACCACCAAAACAUUCCCCACCACCACCUUACUACUAUAAGUCACCGCCUCCACCAGUAAAGUCUCCACCACCGCCCCCAAAGCAUUCUCCCCCACCACCUUAUUAUUACAAAUCACCACCUCCACCAGUGAAGUCUCCACCUCCGCCACCUUACUAUAAAUCACCACCACCUCCAAAGCAUUCUCCCCCUCCACCUUACUAUUAUAAAUCACCACCUCCACCAAUGAAGUCUCCACCUCCGCCAUAUUACUAUAAAUCACCACCACCACCAAAGCAUUCUCCCCCGCCACCUUACUAUUAUAGAUCUCCACCACCACCAAAGCAUUCUCCCCCACCACCUUACUACUAUAAGUCACCACCUCCACCGAAGAAAUCCCCACCUCCACCAUAUUAUUAUAAGUCGCCACCACCACCAAAGCAUUCUCCCCCACCUCCUUAUUAUUACAAAUCUCCACCACCACCAAAGUAUUCUCCACCACCACCUUACUAAUACAAAUCUCCACCAACGCUAUCUCUAUCCCCACCUCCAUCUUACAUUUAUAAAUUCCCACCUCCACCAUCUAUAUCACCUCCACCACCACCUCCAUCACUGUCACUAUUGCCUCGCUACUGUUCCAAGUCAUCACCACCUCCUGAAGACUACUAAGUUCAAUGUUCCGUCUUCAAACAAAUUUAAAAUUCAAUAAGAAUAAAUUUGUUCCUUCAGUUGCCUUUUUCAUGAAUUUUUAUGUUAAUGUUUUUACGAAUAAUUUUUAAGAAGCGUUCGGUGUAUCAUUGUCAUGUGCAAUAAAAAUUUUCUAACUUAAUGUACCCAAAAAAAAAUGUUCCACAAGAAAUAUUCUAUUGUUUUAUCACAAAUGUGUUGUGGCACAUGUAAUGCGCCUAGAUAAAGUAAUAUUAUGUCUUGAUGAACAAUCAUGCACAACAAUGAUCAUGUACAUAGUUCUUCCAAUGUCAUGAUAAUGUCCAUGCACAUAAUAACAAACUUCUUCCUUGUAAUAUCAAAGAAAAUGAAUAUACAAGCCUCUUAUUCUCUAAUCAUUCACUCAAACAACAUUGUUUUAAUUUAGGUUUUGAUCAAUCUUAAUGCUCAUAAAUGCUAACUACAAAUCAUAUACAAGAUCAACAAAAACCAUAUUUUAAAUGAAUUAGAAAAACAAACAUUAGACUUAACCAAGUAGUUAACCUUUAUUAUUCUCCUAGGUAGAUUACAAGCUAUCACUGAAAAAAAAAAUCAUCUAAAAUGGUGAACAAAUGCGCUCUAAAUCAGUUGCAUUCAUUUGUUCAGCUAAGCAAUAAAAUAACCCUUUUCCAUUUUAACUUAUAUACUUUGGCAUGGUAACUUUAAAUAACACCCUCAACUUGACAAAUUUUAAUAACCAAAGCGAUCAAUAACUGUAAAUCUUGACAAAAUUUUUUACUUUAGUUAAAGCCAUAAACAUAGUAUUAAAUAAAAUGAAAAAAAAGGCCAUAAACAUAGUGUUGAAAUACCUUUAUACUUGUGAACUAACUUUUGAUGUUGAUUAAGCUCAUGUACCCUCAACUUUUGUAUUAUGAAUAUGCUUAUGCCCUAUCUUAGGUCUCCUCUAUGAACUCCUCCAUGAACCACUUUUUUUUUUUUUUUUAAAAAAUAAAUUCAUUAUGAUACUAAGGUAUAAGCAGAAGUAAAAUUCCUUUAAUAUUAUUGUAAUCAGGAUGUGGCUACCUAGGUGAUACAUGAAUUGGUUAUUUGUACAUUUUACUACAUUUUUUUGAGUUUGCUUGCUAUUUUUCUCUUUGUUCCAAUAAUUCCCACACGAGGAUAAUCUCAUUUUAACAAAGAAAGAUACUACUGAAAUACAACAAAACAUAAAUUCUAAUAUACUAGAAAAUUUUUUUUUCUUUGCCUUUUCAUAUCUUAGAGUUAUGUUUUUAUCCUCUUGUAGUGGCAUAUAUGCAUUUUAACUAGAAUAUUCUUAUUUGAGAAUUAUUAAUAAGAGAGUGGUAGACAAAUGAUACAAAACUAUGCUGCUUCACGAUUAACAACACAUUCAAUCGAGUAACGAUAGAGAGUCAAUUCUAACACCACGAGAAAGCAAACAAAAGUUGAAAUAUUUUAGCGAAUACCUUUUAAAGUUUGAAUUAAUAAUAAAAUUGUCCCAAAAAACUGCCUUAAUGGAAUUAAUGUGGAGAUUUAGUGGUAGGGUGCAUCAAUAUCAUUUUCCAGAAAAAAAAUAGUCAAAAUAUGAAAGGUUUGUUCUGCAGGUGGUUGAUAUUGCUGUACAUUAAUAUCAAUGAUACGUACCAAAUUCUAUUAUAAAAUUCAUUAAUGUAUAAGUAGAAUAUUUAAUAAAUUAAUUCCGGGUAAAACGUCGGUGAUAUGAACAGUAGCGAAGCUGCAACCGGGUUAGCUUUUUUUUUUAAUAAAAAAAUAGUUAAUUAUAAUUUAUGAAUUUGCCUUUAUUAAUACUUAAAAAAAUAAAAAUAAAUUUAAUAGCCCACCCCGAUGCUAGCUAAGCUAAAAAUAAAAUAUAUCGAAUAAAUGGUGAAGAGAAAGCUGUAAUAAUUAUCGUAAUUACAGUGAGAAGCUGUAAUUUUCUUGAACACGCUUUGACGUACGAUUAGCAAAAAAGUCGUCUGUCUAUAAGCAAUUGGCCGUACAGCAUCUUAACUAUUCCGUUGACAUUGUAAUUAAUUAAUUGAUGACUUUUCUAUAAUUUCUUUGAACCAAAUGCAGAUAUUUAGUGGGCAACCCGCAACCCUUGCUUGGCAAAAUAUAGGAAAGAAAAACUUGAAAUUUAUAAAUGUUACAUUUUGUUUGGAUGAAUAAUUUUGAGAUAAUGUUUCAGUUUUAGAUUUUGUUACCGAUACCUAAUUAUAAUAAUAAAAAAUAUUGCAUCAUUUUUUUACCAACAGUUACAAUACAUUUUAUUUUUUUUUCUUCUCAAUAUUUAAACUCGAAUAAUCAGUUAAAAGUUGCUCGAGAAUGUUUAAAAGCCAUUUAAGUAUACCACGUCAUUCAUGUUUUGCAAUCAUUCAAUUGUUAAUAAGUUUCCCAUGUGCUGAAAAUAAAUAAAAAUGCACGUGCAUAUGUCAUAUUGUCUCCGAAACCUCACAGCGGAAUGAGUGUAGUACUUGCAAUGCAUGUACUUUAGACUUUGUAUUUCUCUUAUUUAAAUGAUCAAUAAUUUUUCUUUGUCCUUUAAUUAGACGUCAACAGUCGAAGUUGUGGGCAAGUAGUAGGCUAUAUAUAAUAAUUUCCUGGAGAUCUUCCGUCUUCUAAGACAUUGCAAAUGCCAAACGUGAUAACUAUUUUGAUAAUUCAAAUACUACAUAAAAUAUAUGAAGUGUCAGACAAGUCAAAAGAAUUGAUUCUUCACAAUUGUAUAUACGUAUACACACACUUUGCCCAAAUCCCAUUGUAUCCAGGCUGUAAUUUUUAUAUUAAACGAACAUAUUUUAUUUUAUGUCAGCAAUAUUGAUGCAGGCUGGUGGAACAACAGCUUCAGGAUGGUCAACUACCCUUCGGAUCAUUGCAAGUGGGAUGGCAUCACUUGCAAUUCAGAUGGAACCAUAAUCGGGCUAAAAUUAUCAGGGUAUGAUGUUGACUUCAAAAGGUAGUCUUCGUAAAAUUAUCAUGGUAUAAUAUACGUAUUUAUUUUCGCAUACAUAAAUAAAUAACAAAAUUGUAAUUAAUUGGAUACAACUUCAGCUUUUGGACUGGUUUGUGAAAAUCGGAAAAAUUUAAAAAUGCUCCUCUUGAACAAUCAAAAUCUACUUUAUACGUGAACAAAGGGGAUGAUUCGUAAAGAUAAUUCAUCAAUGUUUGAUUACUUUCAGAAAGAUAGACUUCAUUUGAUCUCGUCCCAAAGCAUAAUUUCACUUUGAAUUUGAAAAAGAAUAAUGAAGUUCAUACGAUGCUGUUGUGACCUUUUUUUUUUGUUUUCUUUUUUUCUCGACGUUGUUUUGUGAAUCAUAAGGGUUAAUUUAGUACGGUGGGUUCGCUUGUAUGAAGCGUACUUAUUGUACCAUUCUGUUGCAAGUAAUGAAAAAACGCUAUAAUUUUUUUUAGGUUUCUACAAGUAUUAUGUUAUCUUAUAUCUAACUGUGCAUCUCUAUUCUUUGCUCUCAGUUCAGGUUCUCUAAAAGUAUAUUAAUUAUGAAAAGCAUUAAAGGUUCCGAAACUCUAUUUUGCGGGGAAAAAGAACCUCCAUUUUUGGUUUUUUAUUAUCAUAAGAGGUUUUACUAUGCUCGUAAUAACUUAAUCGAAAUUAAACAUAUCACUGGUCUACAUUUUUUUAUCAGAUUUUGUGCCUUGCUAAUUAAGAUGAGUAUCACCAUCAAAUCAACAAGCUUAUACCUUCAAAGAAAAAUAGACUAUAAGUCGGGAGAAAGAAGAAGAAAAAAAAAAAGAAGCUUCGCAAUUUAUGCUGUUGGUUGUGAGUUCAUGAAACAAAUAAAAAUAUGAAAUCAAACAUUUAUUCAAAAUUUAAAAUUAAAAAAAAAACUCUAUAUCUACAGUAAUCUGUUCAAACCACAUAGGUGGAGCAAUAUAGUUCCAAGACGUGGUUUUAAAACAUGUCUUUGUGAUAAACAAUAUCGUGAUACUUGCGCCAAUUCCCAUGGCAAUAAUUGCCUACAUUUAUCCAAGAUCCAUGGCCAGGUUUAGAAUGUGCUAGUCUUCUUUCACUUUCAUAAAUAACCACUACUAGGUAAUCAGAGUGUCGGUCUAAAUUUUUCGGAGAUACAACGUCAAUGUAUGUGCCCGGAGUUGAAGCUGAACGCGCUUAAAUAUGUUCGGAAUUUGAAGUUGAACGCCUGGAAAAGGAUGCAGACUGAAGAAAGGCAAUUCCUGGAAUUUGUCUUUGGUAAGAAAACAUGGCUGCUUAUGCCCUUUGAAAGACUGAAGAAACCAAAUUGAUUAUUGCUGCAAUUUAGUGGCACAUGUACGAGGAGAGGCAUCCAAUUAAACUUGUUCAUAAAAGUAUUGCUGAUAGUUGCAGCCGAUCUCCAGACAAAAUCUUCGUACAAUUUUAUCCGCCAGCAAUUUCGACCAAGAGACCUUGAUGCAGUUCAGACCAAUUCGCCAGUUGAACAUCAAGUUGCCUAGGCAUUGAGAAUUAGGUCAAUAAAAUAUAUCCUGGGUCACUUACAAAAGAUGAAAUAAGUGAAAAAGGAAAGAUGACGUAAUAAUUUCUUAGUGAGAAAAGUUAGUUAAUUUUCAAUUGCUUUCAUUGUUUUGAUAAUUUUCAAAACAUUUCAUUGCUUUCAUUGCGUAAUUAAGCUUUUUUUGCUUCAAAAUAUUUCAAAUUGUGUUUGUGGGACUACUAAACAAUUAGGACACAACAAUGUUUCGUUCUGGUCUUUUUUUUUUUUUACUUUUUAAUUUAUUUUAAGAAAAUCUUUGUCCAUCUCUCAUCCUGCCAAAUAUAUCGUCUCGUCUUGUUAUCUAGAAUAAUUCUUCAUGCAUCAAUGAGUUUUGACAAAUUUUUAUCUUUUAAAAGUUGUUGUAAUUCAAUAUAGCUAAAAUCUUAAAUACAUACAUGUAGAAUAAUCUAAGCAUUACCUUAUUCGGGGAAAAUCGAGAUUAGAAUCAAUCAAAGCAAUGAUACCUUAUAUCAGUGAGAUAUAUGCAAGACUCACCCAUUGGUACAAACGAAAAUGAUCAAAGUGGAAGCAAAAAUGGAAUCCUCAAAUGUGGUGAUAAUUUAGAUGAUCUCCACUCUCCAUUUGGUUUCAUCUAAUAAGUUAGUGUUUAAUUAAGAAUUUAUUACUCAUUUUAUUAUGAUAUUAAUCAACUGCCGUCCCUUCCAUUAGUUCAUUAUUUUUGAUGGAUUACGAAAGACAGACAAUAAAAUUCUCCAAAACUGUUGUAAGAGUAAUAUUGUAAAAGUUACAUAAAAGUGAGGAUAAGGAUAAUUUGAGGUAUGUUUCAAGAUAUAAAGAUUAAAUAAAUUCUUAACUCAAAAUAAAGAGAUUUAUUUUUUUUAAAAGAGAUUAAAAUGUCAUGAUAAAUAAAUAAGGGAGGUGAUAUUCUGGGCUCUCCCCUGGCUUUUUGUGAUAACAUCUUAAAUUAAUAUAAAUAGUUAAAAUUUUAUUAAAAAAUAAAUUUUUACCUAAUACUCUUUGACAUAGCUAGGAAUAUAGCCUACUUGCAAGAGACUUACAUUCGUUUGCACAGCCCUUUCGUGAAUAUAAAAUUGCUGCCGAAUAAGCAUCUAAUUAAAAGAAUUAGGAAUUUGUCAACGGUAUAAAUUAAAUAUAAAAAACGAGUAAAAGAAUUUGUCAAUGGGAUAUGGGGGGCUAUGGCUUCAAUCGUAGGGGUGGGCAAAUUUCGGAUUCCGAAUCCGAUCGGAUUUUGGAUAAUUCGGAUUGGGAAAAAAUCCAUCCAAAUUCAAUCCGAACCUUAAAUCUGUUUCGAUCCGAGAUAAUUUCGGAUCCGGAUCAGAUUCGGAUGAGUUUGAAUUUCAGAUUAUAUUUCAAGUUCGGAUUAUAUUUUGGAUUCGGAUUAAUUCGGGUUUGGGACCUUUUUACAAUUCUCACAAAAAAAUUAUGAAAUUUAUAAUUAAUGAAAAAUAAUUUCCAUGAUGCUGUCAACAAUAAUUAAUAUUUUGAAAACGCAAUAACGGAAUUUUCAAAAAAAAGAAAAAGAAAACACAGGAACGGUAUUGAUAAAGAAUUUUCAUUAGCCAUUUGUGACUGCUAACUAAAUUGUAACAACUAAGUAAAAUAUAAUAAUAAUAAUAAUACAUGCGGGUAUAUUCAAAGCAACUAAAUCACUUGCGAAUGAUCAAGACAAAUCGUAUAAACAAGUAAAAAAUUCAAAGUUUCAAACGCAAAUCGUCGGGGGCUAUCGGAUUAGUGGAUUACCAUUAACAAGACGAGGUUUAUGUCGGUGUGAGUUGCUCAUUGUGGGUCUGGAUGAUGUCGCGAUGGCUGGGUUUGUGCCAACUAUGAUCCAGCUAGGUUUGUAUCGAAUCUGAUCUCGUCUAGAGGACGUUGUGGCGGCUGGGUUUGUGUCGAAUUCAUUCGGUUUGUCUCGUCGGCGACAUGGUUGUUGGUUGGCUCGUCAGGUUGUGGCCCGUGGGUGUGGUGUGGUUUGUUGUCGUGGAUUGACUUAUCAAAGGGCGUGCGACGAUGGUGUGUGGUUUUGUCAUUUGGAAAUUGAGUUUUGAUUUUUCAUUUUCGUUUUUUUAAAAAAAAAUUUUUGGAUUAUUCGGAUUGAACUGAAUCUUAUCCGAUCCAAAUCAAAUCCGAUCAGAUUACAAAAAUUUCAUCCGAUUGGAUUUUAAAGCAAAUCCAAAUCCGAUCCGAACAAAUUCGGAUCGAAUUGGAUUAGAUCGGAUCUAUCCGAAUCUGAUCCAAUGUCCACCCCUAUUCAAUCGGUUUCUGCAAUGGUUAAUGGCAUAUUUUUGCUCAUCGUCACCACUGCAUUCACUAAUCAUUUGUGCACGUGAAUUGUUUUUGAGCAUUUAUUUUGCCUUCGUUAAAAUUGGGCAUGUAAAAAUUUCAUGAAAAAUGGCCAAAGUGGCUGGCUAGGUGAUAUAAUGGAUGGUUACAACUCAAACCUAGCAAUAAAUGAAUGUCCGACAAGCAUUCAAAUGAAUGUAUAAAACCAAUGAGAUUAGAAUAUCUAUUUAUAAUAGACUAAUUAAAAUACGAUUCAAAUAUAAGGUAAAUAGUCUCUCUAUUAAUUUUUUAUUGUUUCAGGUAGGGUUGUCGAGCCUUUGUCCGGGCUUCUGUAAGCCCAUUUCCAGCCCUCUUAUAUGAUUGGAUUAGAUCAGGCUCGGCCCACCAGGCCGGGCUAAAUCUUGAGCUCUUUUUAAAUAAAAAAAAGUUGAAUUUUAAGUUUUUGAAGUUAAUAUAUAUACACACACACUUGUACUUAAAUAAUUUAUAAAUUUUUUAAAAGCCAAAUAAUAAAAAUAUUGACAUGUAAAAGUACAAUUUUUUUUUCAUGUGGAAUAAUUAUCUCAUUUCUACCUUUUUGGUCCUAUAGAUAUUUCCUCAUUUCAUCUUUGGUAUUAGAGCAGUAGUAAAAAGACACACGAUUAAAGAUAAAUGUGACAUUUUUACCGACAAAUUAACUAUUUGGAUCUAAGAUCUAGCUCUAAUGGUAAAGACUAGUUUUUAUAGAAUUCAGGUCCUGGGUUUGACUUCCAAUUGCGUGGGUAAGCUAAUAAUAAUAAUAAUAAUAAUAACAAAUUAACUAGUUUUAAUUUGCAAAGGUCUUAGAUAAUCAAUUCGUUUGUAAAAACAUCAAAUUUAUUUUCAGUAAUGAAAUUUUCAAGUCACUGGUUUUAGCACUAGGAAUGAAUUAAAUAGAGUAAUGAUAAACAUCUUAAAAUUUUAUCCCAAAUGAUAUGACAUGUAAUGUGUCAUUUAUUAAGUGGUUGGUGAUUUUUCAUAAAUUUUAAGUCGAUUAAUUAUAUUAUUUCACCAACCAAUAAAUGAACAUCACAUCAUUUGAGAAUGAAUUUUAAGGUAAAAUUUUAGAUAUAUAUCAUUACUCAAUUAUUUUUUAUAGUAUAAAAUCUAAUAGGGACCAAAAAUAUAAAAACCAAUUAAGAAAAAAAAAGUCAAUUCCUAAUUAGAAGAAUGAAAGUGUCAUUCUCCUAUAAUCAUUUCUCAAGUUUUUAUAUAAAUUUAUUAAUGCAAAAUUUUAAAAGAAAAUCGGUACCUAAAACUAACGCCUUUGACAAUGCUGCCAAUAUCACUCACAACUUACAAGAAUAAAGAAUUUGUAUUAAAUUUAUUAAUGUUCUCAAAGAAUUUUUAGUUUUGACUUUACAUUCUCAGACCCAUUUGUCACAUAACAUCUUAGCUGAUUAACAAAGCCCUUUCGUGAGAAUAUUAAAACUGCUCUCGAAUAAGCAUCUUAACAACCCCGUUUUUGACAUACAUGCAUGCCUCCUCAUGUCAGCAAAUUUGAAACAUAAAAGAUAAUUUCAAUCGAUGUGAGAGUUGGGAGUAUUUUAUAGCUUUUGACCUCAUUAAUUAUGAGUAAGAGAAUAUUUCUACGUCACUAAUGAUUAAAAUGAUCACUAUAUAUAUAAAGGGUAGCAAAGUAUGUUUAACAUCAAGUCAGAAAACACAAUUUUUAGGAAAUGGGAACUCGGGGACAGGCGAGGCAAUGGCCUCAAUUGUUUUGUGCUAUAGCAUUUUUGCUUAUAGCCACCACGACCAAGGCAUCGGCUGAUGAUUAUGCCUCAGCACCACCACCAAAGUAUUCUUCUCCACCUCUUUACUACUACAAAUCACCACCUCCUCCUUCUCCCUCUCCACCUCCACCAUAUUAUUACAAGUCUCCCCCACCACCAUCUCCGUCUCCUCCACCACCUUACUACUACACGUCACCACCGCCACCAGUGCAUUCUCCCCCGCCACCUUACUACUACAAGUCACCACCGCCACCAGUGCAUUCUCCUCCGCCACCUUACUACUACAAAUCUCCGCCGCCACCAAAGCAUUCUCCCCCGCCACCUUACUACUAUAAGUCACCACCACCACCAGUGCAUUCUCCCCCGCCACCUUAUUACUACAAAUCUCCGCCGCCACCAAAGUAUUCUCCCCCGCCACCUUAUUAUUACAAAUCUCCGCCGCCACCAAAGCAUUCUCCUCCACCACCUUACUACUACAAAUCUCCACCACCACCAAACCAUUCUCCCCCACCACCUUACUACUAUAAGUCACCACCACCACCAAAGCAUUCUCCCCCACCUCCUUAUUACUACAAAUCUCCACCACCACCAAUGUAUUCUCCACCACCACCUUACUAAUACAAAUCUCCGCCAUCGCCAUCUCUAUCCCCGCCUCCAUCUUACAUUUAUAAAUUCCCACAACCAUCAUCUAUACCACCUCCACCAUGACCUCUAUCACGGUCAUUAUUGCUUCCUUACUACUCCAAGUCACCGCCAACUCCUUUAUCUCCACCUUCACCGUAUUACUACAAUCACCCCCACCUCCCAAAGACUACUACGUUCAGUAUCCCUUCUUGAAACAAGUUUAAAAUUCAAUAAGAAUAAAUUUGUUCCUUUGGUUGCCUUUUUUUUUAAUUUUUUACUAAGUUCAAUGCCCCUUCUUGAAACAAGUUUCAAAUUCAAUAAGAAUAAAUUUGUUCCUUUGGUUGCCUUUUUAUGCUUUUUUGUGUCAAUUUUUUUACAAAUAAUUUGUAAGAAGCGUUCAGUGCAUCAUUUGUCAUGUGCAAUAAAAAUCUUCUAACUUAAUGUAUCCCCAAAAAAAAAAAAAAAAAUUGUUCUAUAAGAAUUAUUCUAUUGUUUUAUCACAAAUGUGUUGUGGCGCAUAUAAUGCUCCCGGAUGAAGUAAUAUUAUGUCUUGAUGAACAAUCAUGCACAACAAUGAUCAUGUACAUAGUUCUUCCAACGUCAUGAUAAUGUCCAUGCACAUAAUAACAAACUUCUUCCUCAUAAUAUCAAAGAAAAUGAAGAUACAAGCCUCUUAUUCUUUAGUCAUUCACUCAAACAACAUUGUUUUAACUUAGGUUUUGAUCAAUCUUAAUGCUAAUAAAUGCUAACUACAUAUCAAAUACAAGAUCAACAAAAACCAGAUUUUAAAUUAAUCAGAAAAACAAACACUAGACUUAACCAAGCAGUUAAGCUUUAUUAUUCUCCCUCAGUAAAGGAUACAAAGAUGUAGGUGGAUUACAAGCUAUCACUGAAAAAAUAGAAAUCAUCUAAAAUGGUGAACAAAUGAGCUCUAAAUCUGUUGCACUCAUUUGUUCAACUAAGCAAUGAAAUUACCCUUUUCUAUUUUAACUGCUUGUCUACUUUAACACGGCAACUUUAAAUAACAACCUUCAACUUGAAAAAUUUGAGUAACCAGAGCCAUCAAUAACGGUAAAUCUUGACAAAAAUUUUAGUUUAAUUAAGGCCAUAAACAUAAUAUUAAAUAAUAAAAAAAAAAGGCCAUAAACAUAGUGUUGAAAUACCAUUAUACCUGUGAACGAACUUUUGAUGGUUAUUAAACUCAUGAACCCUCAAUUUUUGUAUUAUGAAUAUGCUCAUGGCCUAUCUUAGGUCUCCUCUAUGAACCACUUUUUUUUUAAAAAAAUUAUAUUCAUUAUGAUACUAAGGUAUAAGUAGAAGUAAAGUUCUUUUAAUAUUUUUGUAACCAGGAUGUGACAACCUAGGUGAUACGUGAAUUGGUUAUUUGCACAUUUUGCUACAUUUUUGUGAGUUUGCUUGCUGGUUUUCUCUUUGUUCCAACAAUUCACACAUAGGAUAAUCUCAUUUUAACAAAGAAAGAUACCACUAAAAUACAACAAAACAUGAUCAAUUCUAAUAUACUAGAAAACUUUUUUUUUUUGUUUGCCUUUUCAUAUAUUAGAGUUGUGUUUUUGUUAUCUUAUAGUGGCAUCUAUGCAGUUUAACUAAAUGAGAAUAUUCUCAUUUGAGAAUUAUUAAUAAGAGAGUAGUAGACAAAUGAUACCCAACUAUACUGCUUCACUAUUAACAACACAUCCAAUUGAGUAAUGAUAGAGAGUCAAUUCUAUCACCAAAUGAAAGCAAACAAAAGCUGAAAUAUUUUAGUGAAUAUCUUUAAAGUUUGAAUUAAUAAUAAAAUUGUCCCAAAAAACUGUCUUAAUGGAACUAAUGUGCGAUUUAUUUGUAGGGUGAAUAAAUAUCAUUUUCCAGAAAAAAAUAUAGUCAAAAUAUGGAAAGCUUGUUCUGCAAGUGGUUGAUAUUGAUGUACAUUAAUGUCAAAGAUACAUUAAGUGCAUGCCAAAUUCUAUUAUAAAAUUUAUAAAUGUAUAAGUAGAAGAUUUUAUAAAUUAAUUCCUGUAAAACGUCGGUUAUAUGAAUAAAUGGUGAAGAGAAAGCUGUAAUAAUUAUCGUAAUUACAAUUUUCUUGAGCACGCUUUGACGUACGAUUAACAAAAAAGGUCUGUAUAUGAGCAAUCGGCCGUACAUUAUCUUAACCACCUGAUUUUGUUUUUUUUUUUUGUAAUUUCAAUCUUGGCCGUUGGAGUCAAUGAAAAGAUCGUUCAAAUGGUAGAGAUUUGUCUAUUUGAUUAUUAACAUUAUGCUUCCCGAUGGUUAUCAAAAACCCAAACAAAUUAAAGAGUUAAAACUUUUAGCACAUAAGUCCGAAUUGUUUCAAAUUUAUGUUGUUUAAUCACUAGUGAGUCUCAAAAAAUAAAUUUAUUUUAAUAUUAUAUAUUUUAUUUAAAAGAAUUAAUUUUUUAUAUCAUUUAUUUUAUUAAAAAUAAAUAUUAUUGAAUACUAAUUAUUCUCAUUUUAUUUAAUAUUAUUUAGUUAUAGGCUUAUUAUUAUAUUUAAUUGUUCAAAAAACUAAAAAAAUUUAAAUAAAAUAAAGUAAUUGAUGGUUGUCGAAGCCAACAAAAAUAAAUUCCUACUCUAAAUAAAUUGUGUAUAGUGAUUGAGCAGGGUCGUGUCCACAGAGAUCGGUAAUUAUUUAAAUCCUUUUGAAACGUAAAACGUAAAAUGGGGGAAUUGUUGACAAUAAUAAAAAUCAAAUUAAAAUAACAAGAAUGCAAAUUAAAGUUGUAAUUCAAAUUGGAGAAAGCUCUGGUUGAAGGAAUUAACUCAGCUUGAUUCGACUACUGAUCAUUGAUUCAAAUAUAGAUUAUUAUUACUCAUGAAUAGACCGGUUAUAGCUACUGAGACCCUCUAAUAGCCAAUCUCUCCUUAACUAGUCGAUAACCAAGGUACGACCGUUGGAUAUUCCCUAAUCAAUAGACAACCCUAGAUACGAUCAUAGAAUUUAAUCAAUUGACAGCCUGAAAAACCAGAAAGACCCAAAUCCUAAUCAACACAUAUGAUGAUUCAUUUAAAUUAAAUUGUUUAUUCUCACAACACAACUCUCUGCUAUGUCAUUUGUCACAAACAUUAAAUUCUUCAUACGAUGAAUCCCUUAAUUGACAAUAGAUUAAGUUGAUAAUUAAAUAGUGGCCAACUGCUGUACGGCCAAGGCGGAUGUACGGUACAGCAGAAUACAUUCCCUUACUCAACUAACAAAGUCUUUCAUUUAUCUGAAAACAGUUCCAAUUUUGAAAUAUCAGUGUCAAACUUUUCCCAGCAACAUAUUUAUCAUCUCUCCACAUUAUCCUUAACUGACAGCAGCUUGGAAGAUCUUCAAUCAGCAAGUUCAGAAAGCAAUGAACAAGUACCUUCUGUUUCUGCACACACAAAUAAUCUGCAUCAACAAGAGCAUUCUNNNNNNNNNNNNNNNNNNNNNNNNNNNNNNNNNNNNNNNNNNNNNNNNNNNNNNNNNNNNNNNNNNNNNNNNNNNNNNNNNNNNNNNNNNNNNNNNNNNNNNNNNNNNNNNNNNNNNNNNNNNNNNNNNNNNNNNNNNNNNNNNNNNNNNNNNNNNNNNNNNNNNNNNNNNNNNNNNNNNNNNNNNNNNNNNNNNNNNNNNNNNNNNNNNNNNNNNNNNNNNNNNNNNNNNNNNNNNNNNNNNNNCAGCAGAAUAAAAUAUUAUUAAUUUUAUUUUUUUUAUUUUGCUAUCUUACUAAUAAUUGGCAAUAAUAAUAAUAAUAAUAAUAAUAAUAAUAAUAUCUUUAAGGUUAAUGAUUUUAUUUUCUAAUUAAUAUGGAUAAUUUUAGAUUUUUAUAAUAUAUAUGACGAUAAACACGAAAUUAAGUAUAAAACUAAUUCUCAAAAUCCGAUUUUAAAAAUCUACUUUUUCCCUACUUUUUAAAAUCUUCAGUAAGAUAAGGUAAAUUUACCAAAAGUGAUUUCUGAAAAUAUUUAUCAAAUAAUAAAAUUAAUUUGUAACUUUUCAAAAUAACUUUUAAAUCUCGCAAAAAAAAAUCCUAAAUGAGUCCUAAGUACCUAACUUUAUGACGGUCAACAAAUAUGGUAUAAAAGUCUUCUACACCUACUGGGCAUUUGAAUGGGCCAUCUGUCUUAGCUCUUACCUCUUAAAAUGGGCUAAAAAUCAGAGAGUCAGUUAACUAAUAUGGGCUAAAAUUUGGGUACACCUCUCGGGCAUGUUAAUGGGCCAUCAUCUUUCACAGGUUUCUAAAGGGUAAAGGCUUUCUGUCUCCCAAGACUUCGACUAGUGAAAUUUAAUCGAUAUAAAUAUGUAGCUACCUAUAUUUAUAUAAGAAAAUGAUGUUCUCAUAAAUUUGCGUGCAAAGAUUUGCACAAAACGGUGCGUUUUGUGCAGCUUUAAAAAUGCUCUUCGUACGUGCACCAAACAACACACAAGCACGCCAAUUCACAACAUCAUUUUCCCACUCGCGUCUGCCUCCUUUCACUGCAACAAAAACCCAGCAGCUUCGUUCUCCACACAGCAAGAAGUCUCCUUAUUAAUAUAAUAUUAUAUAAUAAACUCAACAGAAGUCUCCUUUCUUCCUCCAUUUUUCCUCACGAGAUAGCUCCGAUCUCUCUCCCUCCGUCCUCCUUUCUUCCUUACAAGACAGCUCGGGUCUCUCUCUCUGGCCUCCUUUCUCCCUCACAAGAUAGUUCGGAUCUCUCUUUCCAGUCUCCACGCCGCUAAUAGUCCCAGUUCUAACCUCUCUCGCCCCGCAGCAACCAUAAGAUCUCUCUCUCACCCGUUUCAAUUCAUUGCUCUAAUUGAAAUCUUUAACUCGUUUAGGACAUUGUGCUGAAUUACCUAUGGAUGGUGGUGGUCUUAUGCUUGAGUGUUGUAAAUUAGAAUCAAAUUAUGCAAAACCUGAUGCCUUUGGGAAUCAUGUUUAUUUCAAGCUUCUAUGUUGUGAUUUGAUUAUUUGAUGAAGCACCUGGAAAAUGUAGUUUGCUCCCUCAAAUUAUUUUACUCUGUUGAAUAAAUUGUAUUUGCCAUUAUUUGAAAAGAAUUUAAAAAAAAAUUACAGCCCCGAAACAUUGAGCUUAUGCUAUAAUUUAAGCAUCUCCCUCAUUUAUAGCACAUUUAUUUUCAUAAUUUACGCGACAAUGGAGAACGGAGCCGAGACUGUUAGUGGCAUGGGGAUGAGAGAGAAAAAUAUGAGCUGUUUCGUGAGGUUUUGUUAGGUUUCGUGAGGGAGAAAGGAGAUGGGAGAGAGAGACGCUGAGUUUUGUUGCUCCCCUCACUUGUGUGUGUUUGGUGUUAAAACUUUGCAGCAAAGAGUGGCUUUUAUACUUUGCACAAAACGCACCGUUUUGUGCAAAGUUUUGUGCAAAGUGUUGUGAGAACAUCAUUUUCCAUUUAAAUAUUGGCUUUUCAUUUUUUUUCAAAUGAGAAUUGAUCCAGUGUGCACCAUCAUGCACAGCACAAGGUAUAUUUUCAUCAGUGGGCGCUAGGUCUCAUAGAUUGGUUCUCUCUAAUAAGAACAUGUCGUCUGUUGUCCCGCGCUAGAUCGAAUGCGUUUUCAAAUUUGUCAAAUUACAUUUUGAGCAUGUCAUAGUGGACGUUAUUACAAAGUCGUCAAUCUCAAUACAAUAAUCAUGACAUCAGGUUUUGAGAAUGUGAAUAAAACUCAUAUUUAUUUGAUAAAAUAUAAUUUAAAAAUAAAAAUAAAAUAUGUAUAUUCUAUAUAAUUUGAUAAUAAAAAAUAGAAAUCUCAUUUUUAUAUUGGGUUGGGAAUGAGGAUUCCUAUUUCUUGAACUGACUUUUAUAUCUCUCUAUUUUUUUCAUAUUUUUUAAAUUAUUCUCGUUUAAAUCACAAUUAAUUUGAUUACUGCUGUACGGCCAAGGCGGAUGCAAUAGAAUUGCACCUACAAAAGUAAAACAUAAGUAAAUCACUAUUAUUAAGUGCAAAACAUUGAUAUUAAGGGAAGUAAAUAAUGCAAAACUAGUGCAUAAAUUGCACUCUAACAGUAAUCAGUAAUCAGCAUUAAAAAUUAAAUUAAAUUAAAUUUUUUUGUUUUUAAUAUUAUUUAGUUAUAGACUUAUUAUUAUAUUUAUUCGUUCAUAAAACUAAAUAAUGUUAAAUCAAAUAAAAUAAUCAGGAAUGGUUCUUAAAAAAUUAAUAUUAUUUAUUUUAUUUUAUUUAAUAUUAUUUAGUCAUAGCCUAUUAUUCUGUUUAUUUUUUGAAAAUUAAAUAAUAUUAAAUAAAAAUCCCCCCUUUUCACAAUAGAUUCCUCCCUUCAAUACUCUCUCUCUCCUCUCUUUUAGAAUUCUAUUUAAAAUAAAAUACUAAUAUCUGAAAUAUUAAAUUCGUAAUUACAAAAAUAACCAAAAAUACAAAAUACGUUAAACUAAAAACUGCAGGUCCGCAGUUGACAGCACGCGCCCACGCCUUAUCAACAAAGUUCUUCUGACGCUCAUAAUUUCUCCAAGAGAACAAUCAUCCUUAAACAUCAUCUUAUAGCUCAAUUUUAUCAUCAAUCAAUAGAAUUACACCUACAAAAGUAAAACACAAGUAAAACAUUAUUAUUAAGUGCAAAACAUCGAUAUUAAGGGAAGUAAACAAUGCAAAACUAGUGCAUAAAUUGCACUCUAACAAAUUCCCCCACACCAAGAUGAUGCUUGUCCUCAAGCAUAUAACUCAAGACUAAUCUCAAAUCUCCACUAAAUUCUCAUCUCAACUCAUCCAAAAAUAAUUUUAAGCAAGCAUACCUCAAGAAAUUAAGUCGAUCAACAUUCGAGAGACAAGGAUUUUUAAAGCAUAGAAUCUCAUAAGAUAGAAUAAGAACAUUCAACCACCAAGAAGAUCCAUUCAAAAUUCAAGUGCAACAAGAUGUAAUAGCCCUCUCAAUAACUUCACUCCAUGCACUCAAAGUGUUUAGGGUAUCAUUUAUGCACUCAAAUCAAAUCAAAGAAUGCUAUUACCAUAAGCUUGCUCAUAUAUCACAUCUCAAUCCACAAAACAUGAAUAAAAUGAAAAAAUCUAAGGGUCUUAAAAGGGUUGUAAUGGGGUUAAAUAGGUUAAAUGAAAAAGAAAGGUCUAUGAAAGAAAAAGAGAUCAAAAUGAGAAGAAUGAACUCAUUGAAUGAACUUAUGAUAUCAAAAUGCUCCUUGGCCGUACAGCAGGAAUGGUUCUUAAAAAAUUAAUAUUAUUUAUUUUAUUUUAUUUAAUAUUAUUUAGUCAUAGCCUAUUAUUCUGUUUAUUUUUUGAAAAUUAAAUAAUAUUAAAUAAAAUAGAAUAGAAAAUGUGAGUCCUUAAAAAUAAAAAUUAUUUUUAAUAUUAUUUAUUUUAUUUAAAAGAAUAAAUUUUUUAAUAUUUUUAUUUUAUUAAAAAAUAUUAUUUAAUAUUAUCUAGUCAUAGGCUUAUUAUUAUAUUUCUUCUUUUAGAAAGUUAAAUAGUAUUAAAUGAAAUAAAAUUACAUUUUAGAAGGUCAUUAGCCAAAGCACAUAAACUUAUAAACAAAUGGAAAUAAAAAAGGUAAAUAAUAUUCAAUAAAAUAAAAUUACAUUUUAAAAGGUCACCAACCAAAGCACAUAAUAUUAUAACAAAAAUGUAAAUAAAAAAGAAAGUAAGAGAUUCAAUGAAAUUUAACAUCACAAAAGACAAUUUCAAAAAUUGGGGGUAGCUUGCAACUGUUGCAAAGUGGCUGGUUCCAUAAUUUUGAGAUAAUGUUUCGGUUUCAAAUAUUGUUAUCGAUACCUAAUUAUAAGUAAUAAAAAAAUAUUGUAUAAUUUUUUUACCAACAUUUACAAUACAUUUUAUUUUGAUUUCUGAAAAAAAUAGAUAAAACACAAAUUAAUUAUUUUAACCCUCUAUUCUCUCAAUAUUUAAACUCGAAUAAUCAGUUAAAAGUUGCUCGAGAAUGUUUAAAAGCCAUUUAAGUAUACCACGUCAUUCAUGUUUUGCAAUCAUUCAAUUGUUAAUAAGUUUCCCAUGUGCUGAAAAUAAAUAAAAAUGCACGUGCAUAUGUCAUAUUGUCUCCGAAACCUCACAGCGGAAUGAGUGUAGUACUUGCAAUGCAUGUACUUUAGACUUUGUAUUUCUCUUAUUUAAAUGAUCAAUAAUUUUUCUUUGUCCUUUAAUUAGACGUCAACAGUCGAAGUUGUGGGCAAGUAGUAGGCUAUAUAUAAUAAUUUCCUGGAGAUCUUCCGUCUUCUAAGACAUUGCAAAUGCCAAACGUGAUAACUAUUUUGAUAAUUCAAAUACUACAUAAAAUAUAUGAAGUGUCAGACAAGUCAAAAGAAUUGAUUCUUCACAAUUGUAUAUACGUAUACACACACUUUGCCCAAAUCCCAUUGUAUCCAGGCUGUAAUUUUUAUAUUAAACGAACAUAUUUUAUUUUAUGUCAGCAAUAUUGAUGCAGGCUGGUGGAACAACAGCUUCAGGAUGGUCAACUACCCUUCGGAUCAUUGCAAGUGGGAUGGCAUCACUUGCAAUUCAGAUGGAACCAUAAUCGGGCUAAAAUUAUCAGGGUAUGAUGUUGACUUCAAAAGGUAGUCUUCGUAAAAUUAUCAUGGUAUAAUAUACGUAUUUAUUUUCGCAUACAUAAAUAAAUAACAAAAUUGUAAUUAAUUGGAUACAACUUCAGCUUUUGGACUGGUUUGUGAAAAUCGGAAAAAUUUAAAAAUGCUCCUCUUGAACAAUCAAAAUCUACUUUAUACGUGAACAAAGGGGAUGAUUCGUAAAGAUAAUUCAUCAAUGUUUGAUUACUUUCAGAAAGAUAGACUUCAUUUGAUCUCGUCCCAAAGCAUAAUUUCACUUUGAAUUUGAAAAAGAAUAAUGAAGUUCAUACGAUGCUGUUGUGACCUUUUUUUUUUGUUUUCUUUUUUUCUCGACGUUGUUUUGUGAAUCAUAAGGGUUAAUUUAGUACGGUGGGUUCGCUUGUAUGAAGCGUACUUAUUGUACCAUUCUGUUGCAAGUAAUGAAAAAACGCUAUAAUUUUUUUUAGGUUUCUACAAGUAUUAUGUUAUCUUAUAUCUAACUGUGCAUCUCUAUUCUUUGCUCUCAGUUCAGGUUCUCUAAAAGUAUAUUAAUUAUGAAAAGCAUUAAAGGUUCCGAAACUCUAUUUUGCGGGGAAAAAGAACCUCCAUUUUUGGUUUUUUAUUAUCAUAAGAGGUUUUACUAUGCUCGUAAUAACUUAAUCGAAAUUAAACAUAUCACUGGUCUACAUUUUUUUAUCAGAUUUUGUGCCUUGCUAAUUAAGAUGAGUAUCACCAUCAAAUCAACAAGCUUAUACCUUCAAAGAAAAAUAGACUAUAAGUCGGGAGAAAGAAGAAGAAAAAAAAAAAGAAGCUUCGCAAUUUAUGCUGUUGGUUGUGAGUUCAUGAAACAAAUAAAAAUAUGAAAUCAAACAUUUAUCCAAAAUUUAAAAUUAAAAAAAAACUCUAUAUCUACAGUAAUCUGUUCAAACCACAUAGGUGGAGCAAUAGAGUUCCAAGACGUGGUUUUAAAACAUGUCUUUGUGAUAAACAAUAUCGUGAUACUUGCGCCAAUUCCCAUGCCAAUAAUUGCCUACAUUUAUCCAAGAUCCAUGGCCAGGUUUAGAAUGUGCUAGUCUUCUUUCACUUUCAUAAAUAACCACUACUAGGUAAUCAGAGUGUCGGUCUAAAUUUUUCGGAGAUACAACGUCAAUGUAUGUGCCCGGAGUUGAAGCUGAACGCGCUUAAAUAUGUUCGGAAUUUGAAGUUGAACGCCUGGAAAAGGAUGCAGACUGAAGAAAGGCAAUUCCUGGAAUUUGUCUUUGGUAAGAAAACAUGGCUGCUUAUGCCCUUUGAAAGACUGAAGAAACCAAAUUGAUUAUUGCUGCAAUUUAGUGGCACGUGUACAAGGAGAGGCAUCCGAUUAAACUUGUUCAUAAAAUUAUUGCUGAUAGUUGCAGCCGAUCUCCAUGAAGUACAAACCCAACGCAAAGAAACAAAGUGUUCGUACAAUUUUAUCCGCCAGCAAUUUCGACCAAGAGACCUUGAUGCAGUUCAGACCAAUUCGCCAGUUGAACAUCAAGUUGCCUAGGCAUUGAGAAUUAGGUCAAUAAAAUAUAUCCUGGGUCACUUACAAAAGAUGAAAUAAGUGAAAAAGGAAAGAUGACGUAAUAAUUUCUUAGUGAGAAAAGUUAGUUAAUUUUCAAUUGCUUUCAUUGUUUUGAUAAUUUUCAAAACAUUUCAUUGCUUUCAUUGCGUAAUUAAGCUUUUUUUGCUUCAAAAUAUUUCAAAUUGUGUUUGUGGGACUACUAAACAAUUAGGACACAACAAUGUUUCGUUCUGGUCUUUUUUUUUUUUUACUUUUUAAUUUAUUUUAAGAAAAUCUUUGUCCAUCUCUCAUCCUGCCAAAUAUAUCGUCUCGUCUUGUUAUCUAGAAUAAUUCUUCAUGCAUCAAUGAGUUUUGACAAAUUUUUAUCUUUUAAAAGUUGUUGUAAUUCAAUAUAGCUAAAAUCUUAAAUACAUACAUGUAGAAUAAUCUAAGCAUUACCUUAUUCGGGGAAAAUCGAGAUUAGAAUCAAUCAAAGCAAUGAUACCUUAUAUCAGUGAGAUAUAUGCAAGACUCACCCAUUGGUACAAACGAAAAUGAUCAAAGUGGAAGCAAAAAUGGAAUCCUCAAAUGUGGUGAUAAUUUAGAUGAUCUCCACUCUCCAUUUGGUUUCAUCUAAUAAGUUAGUGUUUAAUUAAGAAUUUAUUACUCAUUUUAUUAUGAUAUUAAUCAACUGCCGUCCCUUCCAUUAGUUCAUUAUUUUUGAUGGAUUACGAAAGACAGACAAUAAAAUUCUCCAAAACUGUUGUAAGAGUAAUAUUGUAAAAGUUACAUAAAAGUGAGGAUAAGGAUAAUUUGAGGUAUGUUUCAAGAUAUAAAGAUUAAAUAAAUUCUUAACUCAAAAUAAAGAGAUUUAUUUUUUUUAAAAGAGAUUAAAAUGUCAUGAUAAAUAAAUAAGGGAGGUGAUAUUCUGGGCUCUCCCCUGGCUUUUUGUGAUAACAUCUUAAAUUAAUAUAAAUAGUUAAAAUUUUAUUAAAAAAUAAAUUUUUACCUAAUACUCUUUGACAUAGCUAGGAAUAUAGCCUACUUGCAAGAGACUUACAUUCGUUUGCACAGCCCUUUCGUGAAUAUAAAAUUGCUGCCGAAUAAGCAUCUAAUUAAAAGAAUUAGGAAUUUGUCAACGGUAUAAAUUAAAUAUAAAAAACGAGUAAAAGAAUUUGUCAAUGGGAUAUGGGGGGCUAUGGCUUCAAUCGUAGGGGUGGGCAAAUUUCGGAUUCCGAAUCCGAUCGGAUUUUGGAUAAUUCGGAUUGGGAAAAAAUCCAUCCAAAUUCAAUCCGAACCUUAAAUCUGUUUCGAUCCGAGAUAAUUUCGGAUCCGGAUCAGAUUCGGAUGAGUUUGAAUUUCAGAUUAUAUUUCAAGUUCGGAUUAUAUUUUGGAUUCGGAUUAAUUCGGGUUUGGGACCUUUUUACAAUUCUCACAAAAAAAUUAUGAAAUUUAUAAUUAAUGAAAAAUAAUUUCCAUGAUGCUGUCAACAAUAAUUAAUAUUUUGAAAACGCAAUAACGGAAUUUUCAAAAAAAAGAAAAAGAAAACACAGGAACGGUAUUGAUAAAGAAUUUUCAUUAGCCAUUUGUGACUGCUAACUAAAUUGUAACAACUAAGUAAAAUAUAAUAAUAAUAAUAAUACAUGCGGGUAUAUUCAAAGCAACUAAAUCACUUGCGAAUGAUCAAGACAAAUCGUAUAAACAAGUAAAAAAUUCAAAGUUUCAAACGCAAAUCGUCGGGGGCUAUCGGAUUAGUGGAUUACCAUUAACAAGACGAGGUUUAUGUCGGUGUGAGUUGCUCAUUGUGGGUCUGGAUGAUGUCGCGAUGGCUGGGUUUGUGCCAACUAUGAUCCAGCUAGGUUUGUAUCGAAUCUGAUCUCGUCUAGAGGACGUUGUGGCGGCUGGGUUUGUGUCGAAUUCAUUCGGUUUGUCUCGUCGGCGACAUGGUUGUUGGUUGGCUCGUCAGGUUGUGGCCCGUGGGUGUGGUGUGGUUUGUUGUCGUGGAUUGACUUAUCAAAGGGCGUGCGACGAUGGUGUGUGGUUUUGUCAUUUGGAAAUUGAGUUUUGAUUUUUCAUUUUCGUUUUUUUAAAAAAAAAUUUUUGGAUUAUUCGGAUUGAACUGAAUCUUAUCCGAUCCAAAUCAAAUCCGAUCAGAUUACAAAAAUUUCAUCCGAUUGGAUUUUAAAGCAAAUCCAAAUCCGAUCCGAACAAAUUCGGAUCGAAUUGGAUUAGAUCGGAUCUAUCCGAAUCUGAUCCAAUGUCCACCCCUAUUCAAUCGGUUUCUGCAAUGGUUAAUGGCAUAUUUUUGCUCAUCGUCACCACUGAAUCCACUGAUCAUUUGUGCAUGUGAGUUGUUUUUGAGCAUUUAUUUUUCCCUUUAGAAGCAUAAGGAUAAGGCUAGUCUUCUUUUUGGGAGGACUUAUUGCUUCCAUUCGUUAAAAUUGGGCAUGUAAAAUGUCAAGAAAAAAUGGCCUAAGUGGCUAGCUAGAUGAUAUAAUGGAUGGUUACUACUCAAACCUAGCAAUAAAUGAAUGUCCGACAAGCAUUCAAAUGAAUGAAUAAAACCAAUCAGAUUAGAAUAUCUAUUUAUGAUAGAUUAAUGAAAAUACGAUUCAAAUAUAAGGUAAAUAAUCUCUCCAUUAAUUUUUUAUUGUUUCAGGCAGGGUUGCCAAGCCUCUGUCCGGGCUUCUAUAAGCUCAAUUCCAGCUCUCCUAUAUGAUUGAAUUAGAUCGGGCUAGGCCCUCGGACUUUUUAAUUAAAAAAGGUCGAUUUUUAAGUUUAUGAAGUUAAUACACUCACGCUUAUACUUUAAUAUUUUUAUUAUUUGGCUUUUAGAAUAUUAACGUGUAAAUUACUUUUUUUUUUCAAGUGAAAUAAUUAUCACAUUUUGUCUUCUUAGUAUAUAUUUCUACCUUUUUGUUCCUAUAGAUAUUUCCUCAUUUCAUCUUUGGUACUAGAGCGUAGUAAAAAAACACAUGAUUAAAGAUAAAUAUGACAUUUUAACUAACAAAUUAAUUAUUUGUAUCUAAGAUCUAGCUCUAGUGGUAAAGAUCAAUUUUCAUCGAAUUCAAGUCUUGGGUUUGAAUUUAAAUGCAUGGGUAAGUUAAUAAUAAUAAUAAUAAUAAUAAUAAUAAUAAUAAUAAUAAUAAUAAUAAUAAUAAUAAUAAUAAUAAUAAUAAUAAUAAUAAUAAUAAUAAUAAUAAUAAUAAUAAUAAUAAUAAUAAUAAUAAUAAUAAUAAUAAUAAUAAUAAUAAUAAUAAUAAUAAUAAUAAUAAUAAUAAUAAUAAUAAUAAUAAUAAUAAUAAUAAUAAUAAUAAUAAUAAUAAUAAUAAUAAUAAUAAUAAUAAUAAUAAUAAUAAUAAUAAUAAUAAUAAUAAUAAUAAUAAUAAUAAUAAUAAUAAUAAUAAUAAUAAUAAUAAUAAUAAUAAUAAUAAUAAUAAUAAUAAUAAUAAUAAUAAUAAUAAUAAUAAUAAUAAUAAUAAUAAUAAUAAUAAUAAUAAUAAUAAUAAUAAUAAUAAUAAUAAUAAUAAUAAUAAUAAUAAUAAUAAUAAUAAUAAUAAUAAUAAUAAUAAUAAUAAUAAUAAUAAUAAUAAUAAUAAUAAUAAUAAUAAUAAUAAUAAUAAUAAUAAUAAUAAUAAUAAUAAUAAUAAUAAUAAUAAUAAUAAUAAUAAUAAUAAUAAUAAUAAUAAUAAUAAUAAUAAUAAUAAUAAUAAUAAUAAUAAUAAUAAUAAUAAUAAUAAUAAUAAUAAUAAUAAUAAUAAUAAUAAUAAUAAUAAUAAUAAUAAUAAUAAUAAUAAUAAUAAUAAUAAUAAUAAUAAUAAUAAUAAUAAUAAUAAUAAUAAUAAUAAUAAUAAUAAUAAUAAUAAUAAUAAUAAUAAUAAUAAUAAUAAUAAUAAUAAUAAUAAUAAUAAUAAUAAUAAUAAUAAUAAUAAUAAUAAUAAUAAUAAUAAUAAUAAUAAUAAUAAUAAUAAUAAUAAUAAUAAUAAUAAUAAUAAUAAUAAUAAUAAUAAUAAUAAUAAUAAUAAUAAUAAUAAUAAUAAUAAUAAUAAUAAUAAUAAUAAUAAUAAUAAUAAUAAUAAUAAUAAUAAUAAUAAUAAUAAUAAUAAUAAUAAUAAUAAUAAUAAUAAUAAUAAUAAUAAUAAUAAUAAUAAUAAUAAUAAUAAUAAUAAUAAUAAUAAUAAUAAUAAUAAUAAUAAUAAUAAUAAUAAUAAUAAUAAUAAUAAUAAUAAUAAUAAUAAUAAUAAUAAUAAUAAUAAUAAUAAUAAUAAUAAUAAUAAUAAUAAUAAUAAUAAUAAUAAUAAUAAUAAUAAUAAUAAUAAUAAUAAUAAUAAUAAUAAUAAUAAUAAUAAUAAUAAUAAUAAUAAUAAUAAUAAUAAUAAUAAUAAUAAUAAUAAUAAUAAUAAUAAUAAUAAUAAUAAUAAUAAUAAUAAUAAUAAUAAUAAUAAUAAUAAUAAUAAUAAUAAUAAUAAUAAUAAUAAUAAUAAUAAUAAUAAUAAUAAUAAUAAUAAUAAUAAUAAUAAUAAUAAUAAUAAUAAUAAUAAUAAUAAUAAUAAUAAUAAUAAUAAUAAUAAUAAUAAUAAUAAUAAUAAUAAUAAUAAUAAUAAUAAUAAUAAUAAUAAUAAUAAUAAUAAUAAUAAUAAUAAUAAUAAUAAUAAUAAUAAUAAUAAUAAUAAUAAUAAUAAUAAUAAUAAUAAUAAUAAUAAUAAUAAUAAUAAUAAUAAUAAUAAUAAUAAUAAUAAUAAUAAUAAUAAUAAUAAUAAUAAUAAUAAUAAUAAUAAUAAUAAUAAUAAUAAUAAUAAUAAUAAUAAUAAUAAUAAUAAUAAUAAUAAUAAUAAUAAUAAUAAUAAUAAUAAUAAUAAUAAUAAUAAUAAUAAUAAUAAUAAUAAUAAUAAUAAUAAUAAUAAUAAUAAUAAUAAUAAUAAUAAUAAUAAUAAUAAUAAUAAUAAUAAUAAUAAUAAUAAUAAUAAUAAUAAUAAUAAUAAUAAUAAUAAUAAUAAUAAUAAUAAUAAUAAUAAUAAUAAUAAUAAUAAUAAUAAUAAUAAUAAUAAUAAUAAUAAUAAUAAUAAUAAUAAUAAUAAUAAUAAUAAUAAUAAUAAUAAUAAUAAUAAUAAUAAUAAUAAUAAUAAUAAUAAUAAUAAUAAUAAUAAUAAUAAUAAUAAUAAUAAUAAUAAUAAUAAUAAUAAUAAUAAUAAUAAUAAUAAUAAUAAUAAUAAUAAUAAUAAUAAUAAUAAUAAUAAUAAUAAUAAUAAUAAUAAUAAUAAUAAUAAUAAUAAUAAUAAUAAUAAUAAUAAUAAUAAUAAUAAUAAUAAUAAUAAUAAUAAUAAUAAUAAUAAUAAUAAUAAUAAUAAUAAUAAUAAUAAUAAUAAUAAUAAUAAUAAUAAUAAUAAUAAUAAUAAUAAUAAUAAUAAUAAUAAUAAUAAUAAUAAUAAUAAUAAUAAUAAUAAUAAUAAUAAUAAUAAUAAUAAUAAUAAUAAUAAUAAUAAUAAUAAUAAUAAUAAUAAUAAUAAUAAUAAUAAUAAUAAUAAUAAUAAUAAUAAUAAUAAUAAUAAUAAUAAUAAUAAUAAUAAUAAUAAUAAUAAUAAUAAUAAUAAUAAUAAUAAUAAUAAUAAUAAUAAUAAUAAUAAUAAUAAUAAUAAUAAUAAUAAUAAUAAUAAUAAUAAUAAUAAUAAUAAUAAUAAUAAUAAUAAUAAUAAUAAUAAUAAUAAUAAUAAUAAUAAUAAUAAUAAUAAUAAUAAUAAUAAUAAUAAUAAUAAUAAUAAUAAUAAUAAUAAUAAUAAUAAUAAUAAUAAUAAUAAUAAUAAUAAUAAUAAUAAUAAUAAUAAUAAUAAUAAUAAUAAUAAUAAUAAUAAUAAUAAUAAUAAUAAUAAUAAUAAUAAUAAUAAUAAUAAUAAUAAUAAUAAUAAUAAUAAUAAUAAUAAUAAUAAUAAUAAUAAUAAUAAUAAUAAUAAUAAUAAUAAUAAUAAUAAUAAUAAUAAUAAUAAUAAUAAUAAUAAUAAUAAUAAUAAUAAUAAUAAUAAUAAUAAUAAUAAUAAUAAUAAUAAUAAUAAUAAUAAUAAUAAUAAUAAUAAUAAUAAUAAUAAUAAUAAUAAUAAUAAUAAUAAUAAUAAUAAUAAUAAUAAUAAUAAUAAUAAUAAUAAUAAUAAUAAUAAUAAUAAUAAUAAUAAUAAUAAUAAUAAUAAUAAUAAUAAUAAUAAUAAUAAUAAUAAUAAUAAUAAUAAUAAUAAUAAUAAUAAUAAUAAUAAUAAUAAUAAUAAUAAUAAUAAUAAUAAUAAUAAUAAUAAUAAUAAUAAUAAUAAUAAUAAUAAUAAUAAUAAUAAUAAUAAUAAUAAUAAUAAUAAUAAUAAUAAUAAUAAUAAUAAUAAUAAUAAUAAUAAUAAUAAUAAUAAUAAUAAUAAUAAUAAUAAUAAUAAUAAUAAUAAUAAUAAUAAUAAUAAUAAUAAUAAUAAUAAUAAUAAUAAUAAUAAUAAUAAUAAUAAUAAUAAUAAUAAUAAUAAUAAUAAUAAUAAUAAUAAUAAUAAUAAUAAUAAUAAUAAUAAUAAUAAUAAUAAUAAUAAUAAUAAUAAUAAUAAUAAUAAUAAUAAUAAUAAUAAUAAUAAUAAUAAUAAUAAUAAUAAUAAUAAUAAUAAUAAUAAUAAUAAUAAUAAUAAUAAUAAUAAUAAUAAUAAUAAUAAUAAUAAUAAUAAUAAUAAUAAUAAUAAUAAUAAUAAUAAUAAUAAUAAUAAUAAUAAUAAUAAUAAUAAUAAUAAUAAUAAUAAUAAUAAUAAUAAUAAUAAUAAUAAUAAUAAUAAUAAUAAUAAUAAUAAUAAUAAUAAUAAUAAUAAUAAUAAUAAUAAUAAUAAUAAUAAUAAUAAUAAUAAUAAUAAUAAUAAUAAUAAUAAUAAUAAUAAUAAUAAUAAUAAUAAUAAUAAUAAUAAUAAUAAUAAUAAUAAUAAUAAUAAUAAUAAUAAUAAUAAUAAUAAUAAUAAUAAUAAUAAUAAUAAUAAUAAUAAUAAUAAUAAUAAUAAUAAUAAUAAUAAUAAUAAUAAUAAUAAUAAUAAUAAUAAUAAUAAUAAUAAUAAUAAUAAUAAUAAUAAUAAUAAUAAUAAUAAUAAUAAUAAUAAUAAUAAUAAUAAUAAUAAUAAUAAUAAUAAUAAUAAUAAUAAUAAUAAUAAUAAUAAUAAUAAUAAUAAUAAUAAUAAUAAUAAUAAUAAUAAUAAUAAUAAUAAUAAUAAUAAUAAUAAUAAUAAUAAUAAUAAUAAUAAUAAUAAUAAUAAUAAUAAUAAUAAUAAUAAUAAUAAUAAUAAUAAUAAUAAUAAUAAUAAUAAUAAUAAUAAUAAUAAUAAUAAUAAUAAUAAUAAUAAUAAUAAUAAUAAUAAUAAUAAUAAUAAUAAUAAUAAUAAUAAUAAUAAUAAUAAUAAUAAUAAUAAUAAUAAUAAUAAUAAUAAUAAUAAUAAUAAUAAUAAUAAUAAUAAUAAUAAUAAUAAUAAUAAUAAUAAUAAUAAUAAUAAUAAUAAUAAUAAUAAUAAUAAUAAUAAUAAUAAUAAUAAUAAUAAUAAUAAUAAUAAUAAUAAUAAUAAUAAUAAUAAUAAUAAUAAUAAUAAUAAUAAUAAUAAUAAUAAUAAUAAUAAUAAUAAUAAUAAUAAUAAUAAUAAUAAUAAUAAUAAUAAUAAUAAUAAUAAUAAUAAUAAUAAUAAUAAUAAUAAUAAUAAUAAUAAUAAUAAUAAUAAUAAUAAUAAUAAUAAUAAUAAUAAUAAUAAUAAUAAUAAUAAUAAUAAUAAUAAUAAUAAUAAUAAUAAUAAUAAUAAUAAUAAUAAUAAUAAUAAUAAUAAUAAUAAUAAUAAUAAUAAUAAUAAUAAUAAUAAUAAUAAUAAUAAUAAUAAUAAUAAUAAUAAUAAUAAUAAUAAUAAUAAUAAUAAUAAUAAUAAUAAUAAUAAUAAUAAUAAUAAUAAUAAUAAUAAUAAUAAUAAUAAUAAUAAUAAUAAUAAUAAUAAUAAUAAUAAUAAUAAUAAUAAUAAUAAUAAUAAUAAUAAUAAUAAUAAUAAUAAUAAUAAUAAUAAUAAUAAUAAUAAUAAUAAUAAUAAUAAUAAUAAUAAUAAUAAUAAUAAUAAUAAUAAUAAUAAUAAUAAUAAUAAUAAUAAUAAUAAUAAUAAUAAUAAUAAUAAUAAUAAUAAUAAUAAUAAUAAUAAUAAUAAUAAUAAUAAUAAUAAUAAUAAUAAUAAUAAUAAUAAUAAUAAUAAUAAUAAUAAUAAUAAUAAUAAUAAUAAUAAUAAUAAUAAUAAUAAUAAUAAUAAUAAUAAUAAUAAUAAUAAUAAUAAUAAUAAUAAUAAUAAUAAUAAUAAUAAUAAUAAUAAUAAUAAUAAUAAUAAUAAUAAUAAUAAUAAUAAUAAUAAUAAUAAUAAUAAUAAUAAUAAUAAUAAUAAUAAUAAUAAUAAUAAUAAUAAUAAUAAUAAUAAUAAUAAUAAUAAUAAUAAUAAUAAUAAUAAUAAUAAUAAUAAUAAUAAUAAUAAUAAUAAUAAUAAUAAUAAUAAUAAUAAUAAUAAUAAUAAUAAUAAUAAUAAUAAUAAUAAUAAUAAUAAUAAUAAUAAUAAUAAUAAUAAUAAUAAUAAUAAUAAUAAUAAUAAUAAUAAUAAUAAUAAUAAUAAUAAUAAUAAUAAUAAUAAUAAUAAUAAUAAUAAUAAUAAUAAUAAUAAUAAUAAUAAUAAUAAUAAUAAUAAUAAUAAUAAUAAUAAUAAUAAUAAUAAUAAUAAUAAUAAUAAUAAUAAUAAUAAUAAUAAUAAUAAUAAUAAUAAUAAUAAUAAUAAUAAUAAUAAUAAUAAUAAUAAUAAUAAUAAUAAUAAUAAUAAUAAUAAUAAUAAUAAUAAUAAUAAUAAUAAUAAUAAUAAUAAUAAUAAUAAUAAUAAUAAUAAUAAUAAUAAUAAUAAUAAUAAUAAUAAUAAUAAUAAUAAUAAUAAUAAUAAUAAUAAUAAUAAUAAUAAUAAUAAUAAUAAUAAUAAUAAUAAUAAUAAUAAUAAUAAUAAUAAUAAUAAUAAUAAUAAUAAUAAUAAUAAUAAUAAUAAUAAUAAUAAUAAUAAUAAUAAUAAUAAUAAUAAUAAUAAUAAUAAUAAUAAUAAUAAUAAUAAUAAUAAUAAUAAUAAUAAUAAUAAUAAUAAUAAUAAUAAUAAUAAUAAUAAUAAUAAUAAUAAUAAUAAUAAUAAUAAUAAUAAUAAUAAUAAUAAUAAUAAUAAUAAUAAUAAUAAUAAUAAUAAUAAUAAUAAUAAUAAUAAUAAUAAUAAUAAUAAUAAUAAUAAUAAUAAUAAUAAUAAUAAUAAUAAUAAUAAUAAUAAUAAUAAUAAUAAUAAUAAUAAUAAUAAUAAUAAUAAUAAUAAUAAUAAUAAUAAUAAUAAUAAUAAUAAUAAUAAUAAUAAUAAUAAUAAUAAUAAUAAUAAUAAUAAUAAUAAUAAUAAUAAUAAUAAUAAUAAUAAUAAUAAUAAUAAUAAUAAUAAUAAUAAUAAUAAUAAUAAUAAUAAUAAUAAUAAUAAUAAUAAUAAUAAUAAUAAUAAUAAUAAUAAUAAUAAUAAUAAUAAUAAUAAUAAUAAUAAUAAUAAUAAUAAUAAUAAUAAUAAUAAUAAUAAUAAUAAUAAUAAUAAUAAUAAUAAUAAUAAUAAUAAUAAUAAUAAUAAUAAUAAUAAUAAUAAUAAUAAUAAUAAUAAUAAUAAUAAUAAUAAUAAUAAUAAUAAUAAUAAUAAUAAUAAUAAUAAUAAUAAUAAUAAUAAUAAUAAUAAUAAUAAUAAUAAUAAUAAUAAUAAUAAUAAUAAUAAUAAUAAUAAUAAUAAUAAUAAUAAUAAUAAUAAUAAUAAUAAUAAUAAUAAUAAUAAUAAUAAUAAUAAUAAUAAUAAUAAUAAUAAUAAUAAUAAUAAUAAUAAUAAUAAUAAUAAUAAUAAUAAUAAUAAUAAUAAUAAUAAUAAUAAUAAUAAUAAUAAUAAUAAUAAUAAUAAUAAUAAUAAUAAUAAUAAUAAUAAUAAUAAUAAUAAUAAUAAUAAUAAUAAUAAUAAUAAUAAUAAUAAUAAUAAUAAUAAUAAUAAUAAUAAUAAUAAUAAUAAUAAUAAUAAUAAUAAUAAUAAUAAUAAUAAUAAUAAUAAUAAUAAUAAUAAUAAUAAUAAUAAUAAUAAUAAUAAUAAUAAUAAUAAUAAUAAUAAUAAUAAUAAUAAUAAUAAUAAUAAUAAUAAUAAUAAUAAUAAUAAUAAUAAUAAUAAUAAUAAUAAUAAUAAUAAUAAUAAUAAUAAUAAUAAUAAUAAUAAUAAUAAUAAUAAUAAUAAUAAUAAUAAUAAUAAUAAUAAUAAUAAUAAUAAUAAUAAUAAUAAUAAUAAUAAUAAUAAUAAUAAUAAUAAUAAUAAUAAUAAUAAUAAUAAUAAUAAUAAUAAUAAUAAUAAUAAUAAUAAUAAUAAUAAUAAUAAUAAUAAUAAUAAUAAUAAUAAUAAUAAUAAUAAUAAUAAUAAUAAUAAUAAUAAUAAUAAUAAUAAUAAUAAUAAUAAUAAUAAUAAUAAUAAUAAUAAUAAUAAUAAUAAUAAUAAUAAUAAUAAUAAUAAUAAUAAUAAUAAUAAUAAUAAUAAUAAUAAUAAUAAUAAUAAUAAUAAUAAUAAUAAUAAUAAUAAUAAUAAUAAUAAUAAUAAUAAUAAUAAUAAUAAUAAUAAUAAUAAUAAUAAUAAUAAUAAUAAUAAUAAUAAUAAUAAUAAUAAUAAUAAUAAUAAUAAUAAUAAUAAUAAUAAUAAUAAUAAUAAUAAUAAUAAUAAUAAUAAUAAUAAUAAUAAUAAUAAUAAUAAUAAUAAUAAUAAUAAUAAUAAUAAUAAUAAUAAUAAUAAUAAUAAUAAUAAUAAUAAUAAUAAUAAUAAUAAUAAUAAUAAUAAUAAUAAUAAUAAUAAUAAUAAUAAUAAUAAUAAUAAUAAUAAUAAUAAUAAUAAUAAUAAUAAUAAUAAUAAUAAUAAUAAUAAUAAUAAUAAUAAUAAUAAUAAUAAUAAUAAUAAUAAUAAUAAUAAUAAUAAUAAUAAUAAUAAUAAUAAUAAUAAUAAUAAUAAUAAUAAUAAUAAUAAUAAUAAUAAUAAUAAUAAUAAUAAUAAUAAUAAUAAUAAUAAUAAUAAUAAUAAUAAUAAUAAUAAUAAUAAUAAUAAUAAUAAUAAUAAUAAUAAUAAUAAUAAUAAUAAUAAUAAUAAUAAUAAUAAUAAUAAUAAUAAUAAUAAUAAUAAUAAUAAUAAUAAUAAUAAUAAUAAUAAUAAUAAUAAUAAUAAUAAUAAUAAUAAUAAUAAUAAUAAUAAUAAUAAUAAUAAUAAUAAUAAUAAUAAUAAUAAUAAUAAUAAUAAUAAUAAUAAUAAUAAUAAUAAUAAUAAUAAUAAUAAUAAUAAUAAUAAUAAUAAUAAUAAUAAUAAUAAUAAUAAUAAUAAUAAUAAUAAUAAUAAUAAUAAUAAUAAUAAUAAUAAUAAUAAUAAUAAUAAUAAUAAUAAUAAUAAUAAUAAUAAUAAUAAUAAUAAUAAUAAUAAUAAUAAUAAUAAUAAUAAUAAUAAUAAUAAUAAUAAUAAUAAUAAUAAUAAUAAUAAUAAUAAUAAUAAUAAUAAUAAUAAUAAUAAUAAUAAUAAUAAUAAUAAUAAUAAUAAUAAUAAUAAUAAUAAUAAUAAUAAUAAUAAUAAUAAUAAUAAUAAUAAUAAUAAUAAUAAUAAUAAUAAUAAUAAUAAUAAUAAUAAUAAUAAUAAUAAUAAUAAUAAUAAUAAUAAUAAUAAUAAUAAUAAUAAUAAUAAUAAUAAUAAUAAUAAUAAUAAUAAUAAUAAUAAUAAUAAUAAUAAUAAUAAUAAUAAUAAUAAUAAUAAUAAUAAUAAUAAUAAUAAUAAUAAUAAUAAUAAUAAUAAUAAUAAUAAUAAUAAUAAUAAUAAUAAUAAUAAUAAUAAUAAUAAUAAUAAUAAUAAUAAUAAUAAUAAUAAUAAUAAUAAUAAUAAUAAUAAUAAUAAUAAUAAUAAUAAUAAUAAUAAUAAUAAUAAUAAUAAUAAUAAUAAUAAUAAUAAUAAUAAUAAUAAUAAUAAUAAUAAUAAUAAUAAUAAUAAUAAUAAUAAUAAUAAUAAUAAUAAUAAUAAUAAUAAUAAUAAUAAUAAUAAUAAUAAUAAUAAUAAUAAUAAUAAUAAUAAUAAUAAUAAUAAUAAUAAUAAUAAUAAUAAUAAUAAUAAUAAUAAUAAUAAUAAUAAUAAUAAUAAUAAUAAUAAUAAUAAUAAUAAUAAUAAUAAUAAUAAUAAUAAUAAUAAUAAUAAUAAUAAUAAUAAUAAUAAUAAUAAUAAUAAUAAUAAUAAUAAUAAUAAUAAUAAUAAUAAUAAUAAUAAUAAUAAUAAUAAUAAUAAUAAUAAUAAUAAUAAUAAUAAUAAUAAUAAUAAUAAUAAUAAUAAUAAUAAUAAUAAUAAUAAUAAUAAUAAUAAUAAUAAUAAUAAUAAUAAUAAUAAUAAUAAUAAUAAUAAUAAUAAUAAUAAUAAUAAUAAUAAUAAUAAUAAUAAUAAUAAUAAUAAUAAUAAUAAUAAUAAUAAUAAUAAUAAUAAUAAUAAUAAUAAUAAUAAUAAUAAUAAUAAUAAUAAUAAUAAUAAUAAUAAUAAUAAUAAUAAUAAUAAUAAUAAUAAUAAUAAUAAUAAUAAUAAUAAUAAUAAUAAUAAUAAUAAUAAUAAUAAUAAUAAUAAUAAUAAUAAUAAUAAUAAUAAUAAUAAUAAUAAUAAUAAUAAUAAUAAUAAUAAUAAUAAUAAUAAUAAUAAUAAUAAUAAUAAUAAUAAUAAUAAUAAUAAUAAUAAUAAUAAUAAUAAUAAUAAUAAUAAUAAUAAUAAUAAUAAUAAUAAUAAUAAUAAUAAUAAUAAUAAUAAUAAUAAUAAUAAUAAUAAUAAUAAUAAUAAUAAUAAUAAUAAUAAUAAUAAUAAUAAUAAUAAUAAUAAUAAUAAUAAUAAUAAUAAUAAUAAUAAUAAUAAUAAUAAUAAUAAUAAUAAUAAUAAUAAUAAUAAUAAUAAUAAUAAUAAUAAUAAUAAUAAUAAUAAUAAUAAUAAUAAUAAUAAUAAUAAUAAUAAUAAUAAUAAUAAUAAUAAUAAUAAUAAUAAUAAUAAUAAUAAUAAUAAUAAUAAUAAUAAUAAUAAUAAUAAUAAUAAUAAUAAUAAUAAUAAUAAUAAUAAUAAUAAUAAUAAUAAUAAUAAUAAUAAUAAUAAUAAUAAUAAUAAUAAUAAUAAUAAUAAUAAUAAUAAUAAUAAUAAUAAUAAUAAUAAUAAUAAUAAUAAUAAUAAUAAUAAUAAUAAUAAUAAUAAUAAUAAUAAUAAUAAUAAUAAUAAUAAUAAUAAUAAUAAUAAUAAUAAUAAUAAUAAUAAUAAUAAUAAUAAUAAUAAUAAUAAUAAUAAUAAUAAUAAUAAUAAUAAUAAUAAUAAUAAUAAUAAUAAUAAUAAUAAUAAUAAUAAUAAUAAUAAUAAUAAUAAUAAUAAUAAUAAUAAUAAUAAUAAUAAUAAUAAUAAUAAUAAUAAUAAUAAUAAUAAUAAUAAUAAUAAUAAUAAUAAUAAUAAUAAUAAUAAUAAUAAUAAUAAUAAUAAUAAUAAUAAUAAUAAUAAUAAUAAUAAUAAUAAUAAUAAUAAUAAUAAUAAUAAUAAUAAUAAUAAUAAUAAUAAUAAUAAUAAUAAUAAUAAUAAUAAUAAUAAUAAUAAUAAUAAUAAUAAUAAUAAUAAUAAUAAUAAUAAUAAUAAUAAUAAUAAUAAUAAUAAUAAUAAUAAUAAUAAUAAUAAUAAUAAUAAUAAUAAUAAUAAUAAUAAUAAUAAUAAUAAUAAUAAUAAUAAUAAUAAUAAUAAUAAUAAUAAUAAUAAUAAUAAUAAUAAUAAUAAUAAUAAUAAUAAUAAUAAUAAUAAUAAUAAUAAUAAUAAUAAUAAUAAUAAUAAUAAUAAUAAUAAUAAUAAUAAUAAUAAUAAUAAUAAUAAUAAUAAUAAUAAUAAUAAUAAUAAUAAUAAUAAUAAUAAUAAUAAUAAUAAUAAUAAUAAUAAUAAUAAUAAUAAUAAUAAUAAUAAUAAUAAUAAUAAUAAUAAUAAUAAUAAUAAUAAUAAUAAUAAUAAUAAUAAUAAUAAUAAUAAUAAUAAUAAUAAUAAUAAUAAUAAUAAUAAUAAUAAUAAUAAUAAUAAUAAUAAUAAUAAUAAUAAUAAUAAUAAUAAUAAUAAUAAUAAUAAUAAUAAUAAUAAUAAUAAUAAUAAUAAUAAUAAUAAUAAUAAUAAUAAUAAUAAUAAUAAUAAUAAUAAUAAUAAUAAUAAUAAUAAUAAUAAUAAUAAUAAUAAUAAUAAUAAUAAUAAUAAUAAUAAUAAUAAUAAUAAUAAUAAUAAUAAUAAUAAUAAUAAUAAUAAUAAUAAUAAUAAUAAUAAUAAUAAUAAUAAUAAUAAUAAUAAUAAUAAUAAUAAUAAUAAUAAUAAUAAUAAUAAUAAUAAUAAUAAUAAUAAUAAUAAUAAUAAUAAUAAUAAUAAUAAUAAUAAUAAUAAUAAUAAUAAUAAUAAUAAUAAUAAUAAUAAUAAUAAUAAUAAUAAUAAUAAUAAUAAUAAUAAUAAUAAUAAUAAUAAUAAUAAUAAUAAUAAUAAUAAUAAUAAUAAUAAUAAUAAUAAUAAUAAUAAUAAUAAUAAUAAUAAUAAUAAUAAUAAUAAUAAUAAUAAUAAUAAUAAUAAUAAUAAUAAUAAUAAUAAUAAUAAUAAUAAUAAUAAUAAUAAUAAUAAUAAUAAUAAUAAUAAUAAUAAUAAUAAUAAUAAUAAUAAUAAUAAUAAUAAUAAUAAUAAUAAUAAUAAUAAUAAUAAUAAUAAUAAUAAUAAUAAUAAUAAUAAUAAUAAUAAUAAUAAUAAUAAUAAUAAUAAUAAUAAUAAUAAUAAUAAUAAUAAUAAUAAUAAUAAUAAUAAUAAUAAUAAUAAUAAUAAUAAUAAUAAUAAUAAUAAUAAUAAUAAUAAUAAUAAUAAUAAUAAUAAUAAUAAUAAUAAUAAUAAUAAUAAUAAUAAUAAUAAUAAUAAUAAUAAUAAUAAUAAUAAUAAUAAUAAUAAUAAUAAUAAUAAUAAUAAUAAUAAUAAUAAUAAUAAUAAUAAUAAUAAUAAUAAUAAUAAUAAUAAUAAUAAUAAUAAUAAUAAUAAUAAUAAUAAUAAUAAUAAUAAUAAUAAUAAUAAUAAUAAUAAUAAUAAUAAUAAUAAUAAUAAUAAUAAUAAUAAUAAUAAUAAUAAUAAUAAUAAUAAUAAUAAUAAUAAUAAUAAUAAUAAUAAUAAUAAUAAUAAUAAUAAUAAUAAUAAUAAUAAUAAUAAUAAUAAUAAUAAUAAUAAUAAUAAUAAUAAUAAUAAUAAUAAUAAUAAUAAUAAUAAUAAUAAUAAUAAUAAUAAUAAUAAUAAUAAUAAUAAUAAUAAUAAUAAUAAUAAUAAUAAUAAUAAUAAUAAUAAUAAUAAUAAUAAUAAUAAUAAUAAUAAUAAUAAUAAUAAUAAUAAUAAUAAUAAUAAUAGAGAAGAGAAAAAUUAGAUCUAGGGUUUCUUUCUUUUUCUCCAAUCCAAAAAUCCCCCCUUUUCACAAUAGAUUCCUCCCUUAAAUACUCUCUCUCUCUUCUCCUCUAGAAUUCUAUUUAAAAUAAAAUACUAACAUCUGAAAUAUUAAAUUCGUAAUUACAAAAAUAACCAAAAAUACAAAACACGUUAAACUAAAAACUGCAGGUCCGCAGUUGACAGCACGCGCCCACGCCUUAUCAACAAAGUUCUUCUGACGCUCAUAAUUUCUCCAAGAGAACAAUCAUCCUUAAACAUCAUCUUAUAGCUCAAUUUUAUCAUCAAUCAAUAGAAUUGCACCUACAAAAGUAAAACAUAAGUAAAUCACUAUUAUUAAGUGCAAAACAUUGAUAUUAAGGGAAGUAAAUAAUGCAAAACUAGUGCAUAAAUUGCACUCUAACAGUAAUCAGUAAUCAGCAUUAAAAAUUAAAUUAAAUUAAAUUUUUUUGUUUUUAAUAUUAUUUAGUUAUAGACUUAUUAUUAUAUUUAUUCGUUCAUAAAACUAAAUAAUGUUAAAUCAAAUAAAAUAAUCAGGAAUGGUUCUUAAAAAAUUAAUAUUAUUUAUUUUAUUUUAUUUAAUAUUAUUUAGUCAUAGCCUAUUAUUCUGUUUAUUUUUUGAAAAUUAAAUAAUAUUAAAUAAAAUAGAAUAGAAAAUGUGAGUCCUUAAAAAUAAAAAUUAUUUUUAAUAUUAUUUAUUUUAUUUAAAAGAAUAAAUUUUUUAAUAUUUUUAUUUUAUUAAAAAAUAUUAUUUAAUAUUAUCUAGUCAUAGGCUUAUUAUUAUAUUUCUUCUUUUAGAAAGUUAAAUAGUAUUAAAUGAAAUAAAAUUACAUUUUAGAAGGUCAUUAGCCAAAGCACAUAAACUUAUAAACAAAUGGAAAUAAAAAAGGUAAAUAAUAUUCAAUAAAAUAAAAUUACAUUUUAAAAGGUCACCAACCAAAGCACAUAAUAUUAUAACAAAAAUGUAAAUAAAAAAGAAAGUAAGAGAUUCAAUGAAAUUUAACAUCACAAAAGACAAUUUCAAAAAUUGGGGGUAGCUUGCAACUGUUGCAAAGUGGCUGGUUCCAUAAUUUUGAGAUAAUGUUUCGGUUUCAAAUAUUGUUAUCGAUACCUAAUUAUAAGUAAUAAAAAAAUAUUGUAUAAUUUUUUUACCAACAUUUACAAUACAUUUUAUUUUGAUUUCUGAAAAAAAUAGAUAAAACACAAAUUAAUUAUUUUAACCCUCUAUUCUCUCAAUAUUUAAACUCGAAUAAUCAGUUAAAAGUUGCUCGAGAAUGUUUAAAAGCCAUUUAAGUAUACCACGUCAUUCAUGUUUUGCAAUCAUUCAAUUGUUAAUAAGUUUCCCAUGUGCUGAAAAUAAAUAAAAAUGCACGUGCAUAUGUCAUAUUGUCUCCGAAACCUCACAGCGGAAUGAGUGUAGUACUUGCAAUGCAUGUACUUUAGACUUUGUAUUUCUCUUAUUUAAAUGAUCAAUAAUUUUUCUUUGUCCUUUAAUUAGACGUCAACAGUCGAAGUUGUGGGCAGGUAGUAGGCUAUAUAUAAUAAUUUCCUGGAGAUCUUCCGUCUUCUAAGACAUUGCAAAUGCCAAACGUGAUAACUAUUUUGAUAAUUCAAAUACUACAUAAAAUAUAUGAAGUGUCAGACAAGUCAAAAGAAUUGAUUCUUCACAAUUGUAUAUACGUAUACACACACUUUGCCCAAAUCCCAUUGUAUCCAGGCUGUAAUUUUUAUAUUAAACGAACAUAUUUUAUUUUAUGUCAGCAAUAUUGAUGCAGGCUGGGGGAACAACAGCUUCAGGAUGGUCAACUACCCUUCGGAUCAUUGCAAGUGGGAUGGCAUCACUUGCAAUUCAGAUGGAAGCAUAAUCAGGCUAAAAUUAUCAUGGUGUGAUGUUGACUUCAAAAGGUAAUCUUCGUAAAAUUAUCAUGGUAUAAUAUACGUAUUUAUUUUCGCAUACAUAAAUAAAUAACAAAAUUGUAAUUAAUUGGAUACAGCUUCAGCUUUUGGACUGGUUUGUGAAAAUCAGAAAAAUUUAAAAAUGCUCCUCUUGAACAAUCAAAAUCUACUUUAUACGUGAACAAAGGGGAUGAUUCGUAAAGAUAGUUCAUCAAUGUUUGAUUGCUUUCAAGCGUGUCGAUUACUUUCAGAAAGAAAGACUUCAUUUGAUCUCGUCACAAAACAUAAUUUCACUUUGAAUUUGAAAAAGAAUAAUGAAGUUCAUACAAGUGCUGUUAUGACCUUUUUUUUUUUGUUUUCUUUUUUUCUCGACGUUGUUUUGUGAAUCAUAAGGGUUAAUUUAAUACGGUGGGUUCGCUUGUAUGAAGCGCACUUAUUGUACCAUUCUGUUGCAAGCAAUGAAAAAACGCUAUAAUUUUUUUAAGUUUCUACAAGUAUUAUGUUAUCUUAUAUCUAAAUGUGCAUCUCUAGUCUUUGCUCUCAGUUCAGGUUCUCUAAAAGUAUAUUAAUUAUGAAAAGCAUUAAAGGUUCCGAAACUCUAUUUUGCGGGGAAAAAGAACCUCCAUUUUUGGUUUUUUAUUAUAUGAGAUUUUACUAUGCUCGUAAUAACUUAAUCGAAAUUAAACAUAUCACUGGUCUACAUUUUUUUAUAAGAUUUUGUGACUUGCUAAUUAAGAUGAGUAUCACCAUCAAAUCAACAAGCUUAUACCUUCAAAGAAAAAUAGACUAUAAGUCGGGAGAAAGAAGAAAAAAAAAAAAAAAAGAAUCUUCGCAAUUUAUGCUGUUGGUUGUGAGUUCAUGAAACAAAUAAAAAUAUGAAAUCAAACAUUUAUUCAAAAUUUAAAAUUAAAAAAAAAACUCUAUAUCUACAGUAAUCUGUUCAAACCACAUAGGUGGAGCAAUAUAGUUCCAAGACGUGGUUUUAAAACAUGUCUUUGUGAUAAACAAUAUCGUGAUACUUGCGCCAAUUCCCAUGGCAAUAAUUGCCUACAUUUAUCCAAGAUCCAUGGCCAGGUUUAGAAUGUGCUAGUCUUCUUUCACUUUCAUAAAUAACCACUACUAGGUAAUCAGAGUGUCGGUCUAAAUUUUUCGGAGAUACAACGUCAAUGUAUGUGCCCGGAGUUGAAGCUGAACGCGCUUAAAUAUGUUCGGAAUUUGAAGUUGAACGCCUGGAAAAGGAUGCAGACUGAAGAAAGGCAAUUCCUGGAAUUUGUCUUUGGUAAGAAAACAUGGCUGCUUAUGCCCUUUGAAAGACUGAAGAAACCAAAUUGAUUAUUGCUGCAAUUUAGUGGCACAUGUACGAGGAGAGGCAUCCAAUUAAACUUGUUCAUAAAAGUAUUGCUGAUAGUUGCAGCCGAUCUCCAGACAAAAUCUUCGUACAAUUUUAUCCGCCAGCAAUUUCGACCAAGAGACCUUGAUGCAGUUCAGACCAAUUCGCCAGUUGAACAUCAAGUUGCCUAGGCAUUGAGAAUUAGGUCAAUAAAAUAUAUCCUGGGUCACUUACAAAAGAUGAAAUAAGUGAAAAAGGAAAGAUGACGUAAUAAUUUCUUAGUGAGAAAAGUUAGUUAAUUUGCAAAGGUCUUAGAUAAUCAAUUUGAUGUAAAAAUAUCAAAAUUUUUUUUAAUCAGUGAAAUAUUCAACCUCUAGUUUCAGCACUACAAAUGAAUUAAAUAGAAUAAUGAUAGAUAUUUUAAAAUUUUAUCCCAAAUGAUGUGAUAUGUAAUGUAUCAUUCAUUAAGUAGUUGAUGAUUUUUUUAUAAAUUUUAAGUGGAUUAAUUAUAUUAUUUUACCAACGAGUAAAUAAAUGUCACAUCAUUAGAGAAGAAAUUUUAAGGUAAAACUUUUCAAAUAUAUAUCACUACUCCAUUAAAUAUGGUAUAAAAAAUCUAAUAGGGACCAAAAAUAUAAAAACCCAUUAAAAAUAAAAAAUAUAAAAGUCAAUUCCUAAUUAGAAGAAUGAAAGUUUGUUUCUCCUACAAUCAUUUCACUAGAUUUUAAAUAAAUUAAUUAAUGAAAAUUUUUAAUAACAAAUCGGUGCCUAAACCUAACGUCUUUUUUUUUUUGGUCUUAUCCACGAGGUAUCCUGGGGAGGGCCCCAACUGUGGGAGGCACCUUUAAGCCCGUACCACAACCCAGACUAGAAGUCCCCGCUCGAACCGGGAGGCACAGGUUCUCCCAACAAAGGCGACUUCCCCGCGACUCGAACUGGGGAGCAAACCCAGUCAAGCCACUUAAGGGGACUCCAUUGCCAGUGGAGCCAACACUUUGUUGGUUAAACCUAACGUCUUUGACAGUGCUGCCAAUAUCACUCACAACUUACAAGAAAAUUUUGGUAUUAAAUUUAUUAAUGUUCUCAAGGAAUUUUUAGUUUGACUUUGCAUUCUCAGACCCAUUUGUCACAUAACACGUUAGCAAAGACCUUUAAUGAGAAUAUUAAAACAGCUGUCGAAUAAGCAUCUUGACGACGACUUUUUGACAUAUAUGCAUGCCUCCUUUUGUGAACAAAUUUGAAACAUAAAAGAAAAUUUUGAUCCAUGUGAGAGCUGGAGUAUUUUAUAGCUUUUGACCUCAUUAAUUAUGAGUAAGGGAAUAUUUCUACGUCACUAACGAUUAACAUGAUCACUAUAUAAAGGGAAGCAAAGUAUGUUUAGCAUCAAGUCAGAAAACACAAUUUUUAGGAAAUGGGAACUCUAGGACAGGCGAAGCAAUGGCCUCAAUUGGUUUGUGCUAUGGCAUUUUUGCUCAUAGCCACCACAACCGCAAAGGCAUCAGCUGAUGAUUAUGGCCCAGCACCAUCACCAAAGCAUGCAAAGCACCCUCCAAGCCAUUACAAGCCACCGAAACCACCAAAGCACCACGAGUCACCACCACCAUACUACUAUAACUCACCACCUCCACCAGUACAUUCUCCUCCACCACCUUAUUACUAUAAGUCUCCACCACCACCUUCUCUAUCUCCACCACCUCCUUACUAUUAUAAAUCACCACCACCACCGAAACAUUCUCCUCCACCUCCUUACUACUACAAAUCACCACCUCCUCCUUCUCCCUCUCCACCUCCACCAUAUUAUUACAAGUCUCCCCCACCACCAUCUCCAUCUCCCCCACCGCCUUACUACUAUAAAUCCCCACCACCACCAAAAUAUUCUCCUCCACCACCUUACUACUAUAAGUCACCACCUCCACCAGUGAAAUCUCCACCUCCGCCAUAUUACUAUAAAUCACCACCACCACCAAAACAUUCUCCCCCACCACCUUACUACUACAAGUCACCACCACCACCAAUGCAUUCUCCCCCACCACCUUACUAUUACAAAUCUCCACCACCACCAAAGCAUUCUCCUCCACCACCACCUUAUUACAAAUCACCACCCCCACCACCACCAAAACAUUCUCCCCCACCACCUUACUACUAUAAAUCUCCACCGCCACCAAAACAUUCUCCUCCUCCACCAUACUACUAUAAGUCACCACCUCCACCUGUAAAGUCUCCACCUCCACCACCUCACUACAAAUCACCACCACCACCAAAACAGUCUCCUCCACCACCUUAUUACUACAAGUCACCACCCCCACCAGUAAAGUCUCCACCACAGCCACCAAAGCAUUCUCCCCCGCCACCUUACUAUUACAAAUCACCACCUCCACCAAUGAAGUCUCCACCACCGCCACCUUACUAUAAAUCACCACCACCACCAAAUUCUCCCCCUCCACCUUACUAUUACAAAUCACCACCACCACCAAAGCAUUCCCCCCCGCCACCUUAUUACUAUAGAUCUCCACCACCACCAAAGUAUUCUCCCCCACCACCUUACUACUAUAAGUCACCACCUCCACCAAAGCAUUCUCCCCCGCCUCCUUACUAUUACAAAUCUCCACCACCACCUUACUAAUACAAAUCUCCACCACCACCAUCUCUAUCCCCACCUCCAUCUUCCAUUUACACCGCCACCAUCUACAUCACCUCCACCACCAUCUCCAUCAUUGUCACUAUUGCCUUCCGACUACUCCAUGUGAUCACCACCUCCCGAAGACUUCUAAGUUCAAUGUCCCUUCUUGAAACAAGUUU